CGCGGCUGGCGAGGCCUAGGUUCCGAAACGGCCAUGCGCAUGAGCACUGCUUCAAGGCGAUCGGAAAACAGCCGAGAUUUCUUCUCUUGACCAUCCUCCACUCUGCGGCCUGGAGUGCGGCUCUGAAGCGUCUGAGCGUCUCACGCCAGCAGGAAUCCAGCAGUGGGGCUCUGCGGCCAAGCCAGGGGUCCCUGUGCUCGUAUUCUGGAGUCCGCGGAGGGCUCCAGGCACGCUCUGAAUCACAGACACAGCGGCGCCUGCGCGCUGUUGCAAGGGGCGUCAUGGCCAUAGCUUCGCUCGGACUCUCAAAGAGGCUGGUUACUGGAGGGACCCAAGAGAAAAGAAUCCAUGUUCCUGCCCAUGCAUGGAAGCCCAUCCACAAUUCUGGGCCUUUCGUUGCCUCCCUUUUGCUCUUGUGUUCUGUAAAACCAGCAACUCCAAAGACUUGUAAUUCUUAGAAUAUGCUGAGGUGUUUUAUAUUAUUAUACAUGCUGUACCUUCUG